GCUCAACCGAGGAAGUGCUUCGAAACUGGGAACUUGACUGCAGAAGAGGACAGUGGAACUCCAUGUGUAGCGGUGAAAUGCGAAGAUAUAUGGAAGAACACCAGUGGCGAAGGCGGCUGUCUGGUCUGUAACUGACGCUGAGAUUCGAAAGCAUGGGUAGCAAACAGGAUUAGAUACCCUGGUAGUCCAUGCCGUAAACGAUGAGUGCUAAGUGUUGGAGGGUUUCCGCCCUUCAGUGCUGCAGCUAACGCAUUAAGCACUCCGCCUGGGGAGUACGAUCGCAAGAUUGAAACUCAAAGGAAUUGACGGGGGCCCGCACAAGCGGUGGAGCAUGUGGUUUAAUUCGAAGCUACGCGAAGAACCUUACCAGGUCUUGACAUACCAUGAAAAUCUAAGAGAUUAGACUUUCCCUUCGGGGACAUGGAUACAGGUGGUGCAUGGUUGUCGUCAGCUCGUGUCGUGAGAUGUUGGGUUAAGUCCCGCAACGAGCGCAACCCUUAUUAUCAGUUGCCAGCAUUCAGUUGGGCACUCUGGUGAGACUGCCGGUGACAAACCGGAGGAAGGUGGGGAUGACGUCAAAUCAUCAUGCCCCUUAUGACCUGGGCUACACACGUGCUACAAUGGUACGGUACAACG
rnacentral:rRNA from 1 species